rnacentral:sRNA from 1 species
CGUGCUUCUUCUAGCGUAAAACGGCCUGAAAGUGCUCACAAGACCGAUGACUGUGAAGACGUUCAGCAUGAAGAAUACCAGGUGGUCGCCUGCAAAAACAGAGAGCAGCAAAAAGACAGAUAAUAAAUACUUACAUAGCUCCUGCAAUUGCUGGAGCAAUAGCUUUAAAGAUGGACAUCAGAGUUACAGCAACACCGUUGGCUGAAGCUCUAACAACUUACCACAGCAUCAUUCAUUAAGAUGUUGAAUACAACGUUUGCACUCACUGCAAAAGCAUUCUUCAGAAAAGAUGCACAGUUAACUAUCAAUUGAAGAAUGGACCCUGACAAUCCGGCCAUAAAUGGAUAGCUAGAAAGAAGUGGUAUAGUCAAUAUCUGCAAUUCAGAACGUGAUGGGCUCUACUGAUUUUGCCACUGACGGGUAAACCAAAAUUUGGAAUACCAGGAGGAAGAGACCUGAUAAUAAGACACUACCCACAUCUUGGGAAGAAAAGCUUAAUCCACCAUACUUCCUGUCGCUGACAGCCCAUAGAGAAAAUACCUGCAAUUUGUCCACAUCCUGAAGAGAGAAUAUGCAGUAUGCAAUGAUAGCAGACAUCAGUGGCCAGUUUGUGAAUAAAUUUAGACAUCCAGCACUAUUUUCUUCAGCAGUUGGACCAGAAAGACCUUCUUCUACAGAAAUUGAAUCCUCUAAAACCAUAUCCUGAGUGUGCUUAUGCAAAGUUUCCUGUAACAUGACGAAGCAAGUAGAGCAACAAUGGCAAGGAGGGAUAUACAUAAGCAGGGGAGAAAAUACGGAAACCUAAAACAUUGCACACUUCUCAGAGAAUAUGCUUGGAUAUUUAUCUGCAGGCUGAUAACCACCAAUAGCUGGUCCCACAAUAAGGCCUAUGCCACGUGAGGAAGAAACCUGACAGAUUAGCCAGCAAUAUCAACCAUGAAGCAUUCUCAUGUGGACACAGGUACCUUAAUUGGGCCAAGUAUACCACACAUCAGACCAAGCAAACCUCUUGAGGUUAAUGCCAUCCAAUAACUUGAGCUGAGUCCAAAGAGUGUAUUGAAAAUAAUUAUUGAAAUAAGGGUAAUUAUAAUAAUCGGCUUCCUCCCGUACUUAUCAGCCACGAUGCCCCAUAUCACAGAGGAGAGUGCUCUUCCAAACAUAUAUGAAGCACCGACAAAACCAGCAUAAAAUCCAAUAUCUUCUUCUUGUUUAGCAAUAUGCAGGUCCCUUAUCUG